rnacentral:rRNA from 1 species
AGCGAACGCUGGCGGCAGGCCUAACACAUGCAAGUCGAACGAAGUCUUCGGACUUAGUGGCGGACGGGUGAGUAACACGUGGGAACGUACCUUUUGGUUCGGAACAACUCAGGGAAACUUGAGCUAAUACCGGAUGAGCCCUUAGGGGGAAAGAUUUAUCGCCGAAAGAGCGGCCCGCGUUAGAUUAGCUAGUUGGUGAGGUAAAGGCUCACCAAGGCUACGAUCUAUAGCUGGUCUGAGAGGAUGAUCAGCCACACUGGCGCUGAGACACGGCCCAGACUCCUACGGGAGGCAGCAGUGGGGAAUCUUGCGCAAUGGGCGAAAGCCUGACGCAGCCAUGCCGCGUGAAUGAUGAAGGUCUUGGGAUUGUAAAAUUCUUUUACCAUGGACGAUAAUGACGGUACCUGGAGAAAAAGCCCCGGCUAACUUCGUGCCAGCCGCCGCGGUAACAC